CUUGAGGGGCAUUAGUGAAAAAGCUUUUUGAAGUCACCUAUAUUUGCAAGUUACAAUCUACAAUCUCUGUUGCCAUCUUGAUCUAAAUUAGGUAUUCUCCAUCUUGAUUUAAUCUUUAUCAAAUAAAUUGGUACAAGAUUUUGGAAGUCGUGUUGGGCCUUUCUUUUUUUUGGAUCUUUUACAGUUGGCAUUCUUUCGGAUGAUGGCAAUAAAUCGAGCUUUCGUUGCUGCUCAAUAGCAAGAACAAUAAUCGAUCAAUCAUUCUCUCAGUAUUAUUCUGUUGUGCCCGAAAUACAACCACAAAAACCCAAGAAAACCAAAGUGAAAAACAACACAAGAAGAAAAGGGUUUGACACGACGAUCGUGGAGGAAGUGUUGUCACGAGCGUGGGUUAAUGUUUCUCGAGAUCCAAUAAAAGGUUCUAUGGUUAAAAAGAUGGAUUUCCAAAUAAAAAGACGAGUUUAAUGGAAAAGAUCAAAAGCUGUGGGAUCAGGCCCAAGUACGAUUGGUACCAUUUGGAGUAGGGUACGGAUCAUACCGUUUAAAGAUAGGCUGGAUGGCACCACCUUUUAGAAGUCGAAACCCUAGUAGACCUAGACGCUGACGUUGAAAGGUGCGGGUCGUACUUGAUUAAUGAGCAUACGGGUCGUACCUGAUAUACGUUAAAUUAUACAUGUUUUUAUACCCCAAAACACUUCCGUUUUAAGCGUGUUUGACCGAAAACUCGACGGUUAGGUACCAAAAUCGGUACUUUUAUAUUUUUAGGUCUUAAACAGAGCAUAAAGGAAAAUUCUGAUGAAAACGGACAAAUUCUAAUGCAUUUCUGAUAAAACGGACAUAAAAAUCUGAUGACUGCCAGGUGUCGCAUGGCCGUGCGAUCCAACCGCACUACCGUGCGAGACCUCCGACCUCGGAAGCACUGCCAGUGCGACUCAUGGUGCCGCUGAUUACUCGAACCGCACUCCCGUGCGAGCCAACCGCACCCCCAUGCACCACCUGGACCAUACUUUCUGAUCACGAUUCUGAUGACCUCGCACUACCGUGCGACCAGUCGCAUGACUGUGCCGAUCUGGUGACCUAGACAAGUUGUCCACUAGUCCACUUGGCUGACCCGGGAUCGCUGAAACUGACGUCACCCGACAAGGCCUGACCGCACGGCCGUGCGACCCAACGGCACGGUCGUGCCAAACUGAAAAUUGCCUAUAAAUAGCAGCAUUAGCUACUGAUCAAAAUGUUUCCAUGUUUCUGGGCGAUUUUUGGGUUCCGAAGCAGUCCUGAUCAGACCCUUUUGAAGCUUAAAGAUCGAAUGGAAGCAUAACCGAUCCAAC